rnacentral:rRNA from 1 species
UACGUAGGGUGCAAGCGUUGUCCGGAAUUAUUGGGCGUAAAGAGCUCGUAGGCGGUCUGUCACGUCUGCUGUGAAAACUCGGGGCUUAACCCCGGGCCUGCAGUGGGUACGGGCAGACUAGAGUGUGGUAGGGGGGACUGGAAUUCCUGGUGUAGCGGUGAAAUGCGCAGAUAUCAGGAGGAACACCGAUGGCGAAGGCAGGUCUCUGGGCCAUAACUGACGCUGAGAAGCGAAAGCAUGGGGAGCGAACAGG